UACGUAGGAGACGAGCGUUGUCCGGAGUUACUGGGCGUAAAGGGUGCGCAGGUGGCGGCGCGCGUGGGGGGUGAAAUCGCCCGGCUUAACUGGGCGGGGGCCUUCCAGACGGCGUGGCUUGAGCAGCGGAGGGGGACGUGGAAUUCCUGGUGUAGCGGUGAAAUGCGCAGAUAUCAGGAGGAACACCAGCGGCGAAGGCGGCGCUCUGGGCCGGUACUGACACUGAGGAGCGAAAGCGUGGGUAGCAAACAGG
rnacentral:rRNA from 1 species